rnacentral:rRNA from 1 species
UACAGAGGGUGCAAACGUUGCUCGGAAUUAUUGGGCGUAAAGCGCGUGUAGGCGGCUUGUUAAGUUGGUUGUGAAAACCCAUGGCUCAACCAUGGAAGGGCGUCCAAAACUGGCAAGCUAGAGUCCUGACGAGGAUGGCGGAAUUCCCAGUGUAGCAGUGAAAUGCGUAGAGAUGUGGAGGAAUACCGAUGGCGAAGGCAGCCCCCUGGGAUAACACUGACGCUCAUGCACGAAAGCGUGGGGAGCAAACAGG